UACGAAGGGGGCUAGCGUUGCUCGGAAUCACUGGGCGUAAAGCGCACGUAGGCGGCUUACUAAGUCAGGGGUGAAAUCCUGGAGCUCAACUCCAGAACUGCCUUUGAUACUGGUAAGCUCGAGUCCGGAAGAGGUGGGUGGAAUUCCUAGUGUAGAGGUGAAAUUCGUAGAUAUUAGGAAGAACACCGGUGGCGAAGGCGGCCCACUGGUCCGGUACUGACGCUGAGGUGCGAAAGCGUGGGGAGCAAACAGG
rnacentral:rRNA from 1 species